CCUACGUGUGGCAGCAGUGGGGAAUAUUGCGCAAUGGGCGAAAGCCUGACGCAGCGACGCCGCGUGAGGGAUGAAGGUCUUCGGAUCGUAAACCUCUGUCAGCAGGGAAGAACGGUCACUGUGCUAAUCAGCAGUGAAUUGACGGUACCUGCAAAGGAAGCACCGGCUAACUCCGUGCCAGCAGCCGCGGUAAUACGGAGGGUGCGAGCGUUAAUCGGAGUUACUGGGCGUAAAGCGCUCGUAGGCGGUAUGUCAAGUCAAGGGUGAAAUCCCCGCGCUCAACGUGGGAACUGCCUUUGAAACUGGCAAACUGGAGUGUGUGAGAGGAUAGUGGAAUUCGAGGUGUAGGAGUGAAAUCCGUAGAUAUCUGGAGGAACAUCAGUGGCGAAGGCGACUAUCUGGCACAUAACUGACGCUGAGGAGCGAAAGCGUGGGUAGCAAACAGGAUUAGAUACCCUGGUAGUC
rnacentral:rRNA from 1 species